GCUCCACUAGCCCAACUGGAAGAGGCAUCGGGUUUAAGCCCCGUGCAGUCUUGGUUCGAAUCCAAGGUGGAGUACGA
rnacentral:tRNA from 1 species